rnacentral:lncRNA from 13 species
UCUUUGUCUUUCCCACUGGUGGCAUCAGAAACUGUUAAUGAUUAUUACCUUGUUCUGCUUCAGAGCCACCAGGCCGCAGCUGACACCUGAGGGUGGGGAAAGGGGCUAUUCCUCUUCAUCCCAGGGUAACCCAGUGAGCCUAGAGAAGAAUGAUGUCAACUCUCUCAUGGCUAUGUCACGUCCAUUGUCCGGAGAGGACAUCAUUUCAGUAGCUGAAUACUUGAUGUUACACCCGUGAGUCCUGCUCUUGCUAUGAACCAUUUAUUGUCCAAUAGAAGAAAUAGGAUCCUUGUGUUUUUGCGGUCAGUCUACUAACCAAGGAAUUGUAUUGUUUGUGUAUUCCAGAAAAAAGAACAUGACAAUAGACGACCUGCAGGAACGGUCAGUGAAGGCGAUUGACUGGGUGGUCAGUGUAGUCAAUUAAGUGGUUCUACCUGCUAUAGCCUUGUACCAGAGAUGACAUCAGCACUGGGCAAGAUGGAUGACCUCUACAACCAGAGAAGUGCAGGUCUUGUUUGGAUAAACUGCUGCAGAAAUGGAGGAAAACUGUAAAUCUAAGAAAUUACAGAGUCCCAAGCUCAAAGGCUUUGUGUCAAAGCCUCCAUGUGGCCCCAGACCGAGCUGCAAGGCAAAAGCAGGUAGGGAGUUGAGGGGAACAGCUGAGGCAACCAAGGUUAGAGGGCAGAGGACUGCUGGAGUCUGCUCAGCACUACCCCCUCUGUCAGCCAACUCUAGUUACAGUGAGUACUGAUCAGGAAUUCAAGUCUUCCAAAUGGUUACAUUUUGAAAGAGAACAAUCCGGCUCAUAAGUAUUUUACUGGUUUGUGACCCACUGACACCGCCCCGGGUAGACGGAAUAAGGCAGUACAAGAGUUAACACACACAGGGAACUUAAUUCCCACGCAGGAAAAAUGUGAACAUGGGGAUAGUCUGAUUGGCUGAAGCCACAAGCUUGAGGUGGUGAUAUCUCUCACACAAGGGGGAGAGCUAGACGACAUUGGGCCAGCCAGACAUAAACAAACACACACACUGAAAAUUAGUCCCACUGUCACAGCCGUCGAAAGAAGUGGACCAAAGUGCAGCGUGGUGAGCGUACAUUUUCCUUUAUUAUGGAAUGACACCAACAAAACAAGAAACAAAAUGAACAACCGUGAAGCUUACAGGGCUAUAGUGCCACUUACAAAGAUAACAUCCCACAAACACAACAGGGAUAAAGGCUGCCUAAGUAUGAUUCCCAAUCAGAGACAA